CCUACGGGAGGCAGCAGUGAGGAAUAUUGGUCAAUGGCCGGAAGUCUGAACCAGCCAUGCCGCGUGAAGGUCAGUGCCCUAUGGGCGUUAAACUUCUUUUGUGCGGGAGCAAUAAUGGUCACGUGUGGCCAGACGAGAGUACCGUACGAAUAAGCAUCGGCUAACUCCGUGCAAGCAGCCGCGGUAAUACUGGGGAUGCAAGCGUUAUCCGGAUUUAUUGGGUUGAAAGGGUGCGUAGGCUGUGAGGUAAGUCAGCGGUGAAAUGCCCCGGCUCAACGGGGUGAAGUGCCAUGGAUACUGUGUGGCUGGAAUGCGGAUGCGGUGGGAGGAAUGGGUGGUGUAGCGGUGAAAUGCAUAGAUAUCACACAGAACACCGAUUGCGAAGGCAUCCCACGAAGCCGCGAUUGACGCUGAUGCACGAAAGCGUGGGUAUCAAACAGGAUUAGAUACCCGAGUAGUC
rnacentral:rRNA from 1 species